rnacentral:rRNA from 1 species
CGGUUUUUUAGGUCUGAAGGGAAAGCCUUCGGCUUAACCGGAGAAGGGCAUCGGAAACCGGGAGACUUGAGUGCAGAAGAGGACAGUGGAACUCCAUGUGUAGCGGUGAAAUGCGUAGAUAUAUGGAAGAACACCAGUGGCGAAGGCGGCUGUCUGGUCUGUAACUGACGCUGAGGCUCGAAAGCAUGGGUAGCGAACAGGAUUAGAUACCCUGGUAGUCCAUGCCGUAAACGAUGAGUGCUAAGUGUUGGAGGGUUUCCGCCCUUCAGUGCUGCAGCUAACGCAUUAAGCACUCCGCCUGGGGAGUACGACCGCAAGGUUGAAACUCAAAGGAAUUGACGGGGGCCCGCACAAGCGGUGGAGCAUGUGGUUUAAUUCGAUGCUACGCGAAGAACCUUACCAGGUCUUGACAUCUUCUGCUAACCUAAGAGAUUAGGCGUUCCCUUCGGGGACGGAAUGACAGGUGGUGCAUGGUUGUCGUCAGCUCGUGUCGUGAGAUGUUGGGUUAAGUCCCGCAACGAGCGCAACCCUUAUUGUCAGUUGCCAGCAUUUAGUUGGGCACUCUGGCGAGACUGCCGGUGACAAACCGGAGGAAGGUGGGGAUGACGUCAAAUCAUCAUGCCCCUUAUGACCUGGGCUACACACGUGCUACAAUGGACGGUACAACGAGUCGCGAAACCGCGAGGUCAAGCUAAUCUCUUAAAGCCGUUCUCAGUUCGGAUUGCAGGCUGCAACUCGCCUGCAUGAAGUUGGAAUCGCUAGUAAUCGUGGAUCAGCAUGCCACGGUGAAUACGUUCCCGGGCCUUGUACACACCGCCCGUCACACCAUGAGAGUUUGUAACACCCAAAGCCGGUGAGGUAACCUUCGGGAACCAGCCGUCUAAGGUGGGACAGAUGAUUAGGGUGAAGUCGUAACAAGGUAGCCGUAGGAGAACCUGCGGCUGGAUCACCUCCUUUCUAA